UACGGAGGGUGCAAGCGUUAUCCGGAUUCACUGGGUUUAAAGGGUGCGUAGGUGGGUCUGUAAGUCAGUGGUGAAAUCUCCAAGCUUAACUUGGAAACUGCCGUUGAUACUAUAGAUCUCGAAUGUUGUGGAGGUGAGCGGAAUAUGUCAUGUAGCGGUGAAAUGCUUAGAUAUGACAUAGAACACCAAUUGCGAAGGCAGCUCACUACACAAAUAUUGACACUGAGGCACGAAAGCGUGGGGAUCAAACAGG
rnacentral:rRNA from 1 species